GAUUGGAUGGAUUGGAUGGAUUGGAAGGAUUGUGACUGCGCUGUGCUGGAUUUAUAAAAGAAUAAGAUCUGACAAACCUGCUGCUGCACCACAAGACAAUCCUACUGCUGCACCGCAAGACAAUCCUGCUGAUGCACUGCAAGACAAUCCUGCUGCUGCACCACAUGACAAACCUGCUGCUGCACCGCAAGACAAUUCUGCUGCUGCACCGCAAGACAAUCCUGCUGAUCAAGAAAUACAGCCACUGCUGAAAACACCACAUGAUGAUCGUGGUUGUGUGGCUUUGGGGAAGGAGGCUGCCCAAUACACUCCAGUCAAGACGGAUCCUGAGUAAUGCAGUUUCCAGCACAACAGGUUUCCUUCAGGUUUCCUCUCAUCUCCCAGAAACAUGCCAGUAGGAGGAUUGGUUUUGCUAAAUUGAAUCUAGGUGUGAAUAAGUGUGUGAAUUGUGCCCUGUGAUGGACCCGCAUCCCAUCCAUGGUGUAUUCCCACCUCGCAUACAUUGUCCCCUCUUUACUGGCUAAGAAAGUUUCUAAAGGCUUUAUUCAAUUCAGUUCAGUGUUAUUUGUGUACAGCGUGUUUAACAGUGGACAUUGUCCCAGAGCAGCGUUACAGAAAUAUAUAAAUUCAGGAUAUAGAUGUUAAAUGUAUGAAUUUAUCCCUAAUGAGCAGCCAGAGGCGACGGUGGUGAGAAAAACUCCCUGAGUGUUACGAAACGGGACUGGAGGCGGAUGCAGGUGCAGGUCACAGUCUUUAUUACUUAGCAAAUAAACGAACACAGUGAGCGUGGUCUCUACUGACUAUACAAACUCUGGUCAUCUAGCUACGACCGCUAGCAUGCUACACGUUAGCACAUACCGUCACACUUCCUUGACAUGACAAACAUAAACCAAAUAAUACUGCUCAAUGUGCGCAGUCACCGAGGGGUUUAGUCAACAUAAUCAAACCAAAACAUGAACACAUGGGGCAAAUCAGAGACAAGAUCAGACUUAAAUUAAUGUUCAAGCAGGAAGCAAACGAAAA